rnacentral:rRNA from 1 species
UACGUAGGUGGCAAGCGUUGUCCGGAUUUACUGGGCGUAAAGAGCGCGCAGGCGGUCGUUCAAGUCGAGUGUGAAAGCCCCCGGCUCAACUGGGGAGGGUCACUCGAUACUGAUCGACUUGAAGGCAGGAGAGGGAAGCGGAAUUCCCGGUGUAGUGGUGAAAUGCGUAGAUAUCCGGAGGAACCCCAGAGGCGAAGGCGGCGCUCUGGCUCGCAACUGACGCUCAGACACGACAGCAUGGGGAGCGAACGGG